GACGAACGCUGGCGGCGUGCUUAACACAUGCAAGUGGAGCGACGAACCAGGCUUCGGCCUGGGGCAAAGCCGCGAACGGGUGAGUAACACGUGGGUAACCUACCCUGAAGACUGGGACAACCCGAGGAAACUCGAGCUAAUACCAGAUGUGGUCUCUCUUCAUAAGUAGAGCGACUAAAGGAAGCUUCGGCCUCCGCUUCAGGAGGGGCUUGCGGCCCAUUAGCUUGUUGGUGAGGUAACGGCUCACCAAGGCAACGAUGGGUAGCUGGUCUGAGAGGACGAUCAGCCACACUGGGACUGAGACACGGCCCAGACUCCUACGGGAGGCAG
rnacentral:rRNA from 1 species